GAUUAACGCUGGCGGCGUGCAUAACACAUGCAAGUCGAACGAUGAAACUCAUUAGAUUUCUUCGGAAUGAAAAUGAAUGGAUUAGUGGCGAACGGGUGAGUAACGCGUGAGUAACCUGCCUUACACAAGGGGAUAGCCUCUGGAAACGGAGAAUAAUACCCUAUGAAACCAGACAAUCGCAUGAUAAUCUGGUCAAAAUGUUUAGUGGUGUAAGAUGGACUUGCGUCUGAUUAGCUAGUUGGUGAGAUAAAAGCUCACCAAGGCAACGAUCAGUAGCCGGCUUGAGAGAGUGUACGGCCACAUUGGGACUGAGACACGGCCCAGACUCCUACGGGAGGCAGCAGUGGGGAAUUUUGCACAAUGGGGGAAACCCUGAUGCAGCGACGCCGCGUGAUUUAGAAGGCCUUCGGGUUGUAAAAAUCUUUUGUAUAGGAAGAAAAUGACAGUACUAUACGAAUAAGGUCCGGCUAAGUACGUG
rnacentral:rRNA from 1 species